GGAUGUAUCAACGAAGCUCAUGUUGAUGAUCAUGAAUACCUGUGUCUGCAUCAUGAGAAGAUGCAGGCCAAAUGGCUCAGUACGUAGAAUGUACGAGCAUGUAAGGGGAAUUCUAAAACAUAAACAUAAGCUUGAAACUUGAUAGAAAUGAAACAUACUUACCUCUUCUCAAACUUACUCAACUCAAGGAAUACUCAAGGAUACUCAAAACUACUCAAACUUACUCAACUCAGAAGUACUCAAGGAUAAGAUACUCAACUCAAAGAUAUGUUAUUCGACUCUGGGUACUCAACUCUGG
rnacentral:lncRNA from 1 species